rnacentral:rRNA from 1 species
GAUGAACGCUGACAGAAUGCUUAACACAUGCAAGUCAACUUGAACUUCGGUUUGGGUGGCGGACGGGUGAGUAACGCGUAAAGAACUUGCCUCACAGAUAGGGACAACAUUUGGAAACGAAUGCUAAUACCUGAUAUUAUGAUUAUAUGGCAUCGUAUAAUUAUGAAAGCUAUAUGCGCUGUGAGAGAGCUUUGCGUCCCAUUAGCUAGUUGGAGAGGUAACGGCUCACCAAGGCGAUGAUGGGUAGCCGGCCUGAGAGGGUGAUCGGCCACAAGGGGACUGAGACACGGCCCUUACUCCUACGGGAGGCAGCAGUGGGGAAUAUUGGACAAUGGACCAAGAGUCUGAUCCAGCAAUUCUGUGUGCACGAUGAAGUUUUUCGGAAUGUAAAGUGCUUUCAGUUGGGAAGAAAAAAAUGACGGUACCAACAGAAGAAGCGACGGCUAAAUACGUG